UACAGAGGUGGCAAGCGUUGUUCGGAAUUACUGGGCGUAAAGGGCGCGUAGGCGGCUUGGUCAGUCCCGUGUGAAAUCCCUCGGCUCAACUGAGGAACUGCACGGGAAACUGCCUGGCUUGAGUUCGGGAGAGGGAAGCGGAAUUCCGGGUGUAGCGGUGAAAUGCGUAGAUAUCUGGAGGAACACCGGUGGCGAAGGCGGCAUCCUGGACCGGUAUUGACGCUGAGGCGCGAAAGCGUGGGGAGCGAACAGG
rnacentral:rRNA from 1 species